AGAGUUUGAUCAUGGCUACAGGACGAACGCUGGCGGCGCGCUUAAUACAUGCAAGUCGAACGAGAAGCCAGAGCUUGCUCUGGUGGAAAGUGGCGAACGGGUGAGUAACACGUGAGAAACCUGCCCCAAAGAUUGGGAUAAGCCUUGGAAACGAGGUCUAAUACCAAAUACCUUCUUUUUAACACAUGUUAAAAGAGAAAUGCUCCGGCGCUUUGGGAUGGUCUCGCGAUCUAUCAGCUUGUUGGUGAGGUAAACGGGCUCACCAAGGCAUCGACGGAUAGCUGGUCUGAGAGGAUGUCCAGCCACAUUGGAACUGAGACACGGUCCAAACUCCUACGGGAGGCAGCAGUAGGGAAUCUUGCACAAUGAGGGAAACCUUGAUGCAGCGACGCCGCGUGCGGGACGAAGGCCCUAGGGUUGUAAACCGCUUUCAGUAGGGACGAAAGUGACGGUACCUACAGAAGAAGCCCCGGCCAACUAUGUG
rnacentral:rRNA from 1 species